rnacentral:rRNA from 1 species
CGGAGGAUCCAAGCGUUAUCCGGAUUUAUUGGGUUUAAAGGGUGCGUAGGCGGCUUAUUAAGUCAGGGGUGAAAGACGGUGGCUCAACCAUCGCAGUGCCUUUGAUACUGAUGAGCUUGAAUGAACUAGAGGUAGGCGGAAUGUGACAAGUAACGGUGAAAUGCAUAGAUAUGUCACAGAACACCGAUUGCGAAGGCAGCUUACUAUGGUUUUAUUGACGCUGAGGCACGAAAGCGUGGGGAUCAAACAGGAUUAGAUACCCUGGUAGUCCACGCCCUAAACGAUGAAUACUCGCUGUUAGCGAUAUACAGUUAGCGGCUAAGCGAAAGCGUUAAGUAUUCCACCUGGGGAGUACGCCCGCAAGGGUG